rnacentral:rRNA from 1 species
UCACACAAGAGACCCAAAUUAACCACACACGGCGUAAAGAGUGGACCCAUAGUUAUCGCACCAAUUAAGGUCAAAACGCAACUGAGCUGUCAUAAGCUUAAGAUGCAUUUAAAACCGCCCUAAAGACGACCUUAACACUCCCGAUCAAAUAAAUUCCACGAAAGCUAGGACACAAACUGGGAUUAGAUACCCCACUAUGCCUAGCCCUAAAUCUCGAUGCUCACCUCCACUAGAGCAUCCGCCCGAGGACUACGAGCACAAACGCUUAAAACUCUAAGGACUUGGCGGUGCCCCAAACCCACCUAGAGGAGCCUGUUCUAUAAUCGACAACCCACGAUAUACCCGACCACUUCUUGCCUAACCAGCCUACAUACCGCCGUCGCCAGCCCACCUCCCCUGAGAGAACAACAGUGAGCACAAUCGCCUUAACCCCGCUAACAAGACAGGUCAAGGUAUAGCCCAUGAAGUGGAAGAAAUGGGCUACAUUUUCUAGCCUAGAAAACCAAACGAAAAGGGGCAUGAAAUAGCCCCUAGAAGGCGGAUUUAGCAGUAAAGGGGAACAAUAAAGUCCCCUUUAAACCGGCCCUGAGGCACGUACAUACCGCCCGUCACCCUCCUCACAAGCCCCAAACCUCCAUAAAUAAUACACCCUCUUGCUAAAGACGAGGUAAGUCGUAACAAGGUAAGUGUACCGG